GCACUUUUGUCCGGAAAGAAAACCUUUGCACUAAUACUGUGAGGGGAUGACGGUACCGGAAGAAUAAGCACCGGCUAACUACGUGCCAGCAGCCGCGGUAAUACGUAGGGUGCGAGCGUUAAUCGGAAUUACUGGGCGUAAAGCGUGCGCAGGCGGUUCGUUAAGACAGAUGUGAAAUCCCCGGGCUUAACCUGGGAACUGCAUUUGUGACUGGCGAGCUAGAGUAUGGCAGAGGGGGGUAGAAUUCCACGUGUAUCAGUGAAAUGCGUAGAGAUGUGGAGGAAUACCGAUGGCGAAGGCAGCCCCCUGGGCCAAUACUGACGCUCAUGCACGAAAGCGUGGGGAGCAAACAGGAUUAGAUACCCUGGUAGUCCACGCCCU
rnacentral:rRNA from 1 species